UCCUGACACAAAUCCGGAGGAACAAGAGCCGCAUUCAGUUGGAAAGUGAAGAAGCCAAAUGUUGACUCUCAGGACCUUCUAGAAGAAUGAGCUGGGAACCACCCUCUGGGUCCUGCCGGAACCAGAGCCCGAGUUGAGAUUUGGCAUGUUUUCUGAUUUCUCAUGAACAUCUGAAAUACUUUUAAAUUGAUUGCGGUUUUUACUAAAAGCUGAAUCACCGGAUCCCUCUGUGACUGCUCCCGGUGAAAGGACAUACCAAGGCCACUUCUCAGUGUGGAUUCAUAGACCUGCCUGAGUUUUACAUUCACCACACAUACUUUCAAAGCUCCUUUCUGUCGCUGUAAGAAAGAAGACAGACCUUCUGAUGCACAUGCAAGUUUCUGUAACUUCAAGAUUCGUUGUGUCAACGUGGCUGCCAGAACAUUUCUUCCUUUCCCAGAAGUGCCCUCCAUGUUGUACCCUGUGGGCUGCCCUUUAUCACCAUCCAUGGGCUUUGGGCCACCCCCACCUUCUCCAAGCUGGUGACCUCUGGAACCUCACCCUCCACCUCCACCAUCUGGGAAGAUGAUCUGAACAGUAGGAGUUAACUUAGAAAACACGUUUUGUCUUUCUUCUUGUUGAGUCUUGGGAGAAGAUGCAGUGAUGGUACUACAUGGCUUUCAGUCUAUGCAAGUCAGAAUCACCUCCAUCCACCUCCAGCCUUUAUGAGACCCAGGACGUGGUACAACUCCCAUGGGGAACAUCAGUUCUGUCUCUACCAAGGAUGCAGAGAAAGACAAGCCUCCAGGCUUCUCCAGUUUAAGAUCAUCAUGGUAGCUGGCACCUCUGGAAGCCACAAGUGCGUCGAGGCUGAGGACCGCGUGGCUCUCACUUUGUGGAAAUAACUUGAGGAGGAUGACACGUCACUGUACCCUCAAAUCUUCUGGAGGGGCUGACUCCUUCCACACCUUCUUUACAUGGGGUGGAACUACUCUGAAUUAUGAGAAGCGGCACGUGUACUCAAAAAUGUACAUGGAACUGCAGUCGUGAAGAUUCAGGCUUGUUUCCGGGAAGAAAUCCUGACGGAAAUUCAGAAAAACGGGAGCUGCGUUCCAUUAGGACAUGAAUGCAUGAAAUGCUCAUCUCAGGACCUUCUAGAAGAAUGAGCUGGGACCCACUUCCGAGUCCUGCUGGAACCAGAGACCGAGGACUUCCAGUACUAUGUGGAAUAACUGGUGAGAGGGGUCAUCCCCAUCUUGUUCCUGACCUUGGAGGAAAAGCUUUCAAUUUUUCCCCAUUGAGGAUGAGAUUAGCUGUGUGUUUUUCGUAGAUGACCUUUAUUAUGUGCAGUGGGGUCUCCUCCUCUCUGGAAGUGCUAUCCAUGGGCACAGAGACACAUGGGGAGGUGGGGAUCCUGAGAUCCUACAGAGGACCUGGAUAAGCAUGCUCUUAGAGAAACAGCUGUACCUGUGACACAGGACACAAGAGAAUGUGCUCAUGUGAACACAAGUGAAGGACAUGGUGGGGACUUGCCACACAGUUUACAGUAUUUAUACCCACGGCACACUUGAAGGAAUUUUGGACAGCACAUUUACCAAAAAAAAGGUGGAAUGCUGACGGGUAUGAAAUGUACUUCAUCUAAGACCAUUCUAAAUGACGCAUACAAAAAUAUAAGUUGGAGUGAAGGCAGUUUUCAUUUUCAAACUGUAAGGAUACCCACAGAUUUUUCUGAACACGUGAAAACCCUUGAUAGAAAGAAACAGGAGAGGAAGAAACAGCAAAAGCAAUGAUUUCACACUGAGAAGAUCUGGAAAGAAUGAGGCAAGGUAGGAGACUUCCAAGUGGAGUGUGGUGUCAUCCUCCUUGAUUUAUUCCGGGAACACGUUGGAAAAGCCCUAUGGUCCUCACCCUUAAGCACACUUAGCUUCUAAAGGUACCACAAAGAGAUGCCAGGUGGAAAACAGGGAAGCCCGUAGACUCAGGGGUAAAGGUUGUGCAUUUGGGGGGAAAAAAAGACAGCACCCAUACCAUACGGCACUCAAACCAGAGACAGUGGCAGGAGAGUGUGCUGCACAGAAAGAUGCGGCUCUCUGGAAAGACGUAGAACUGAAAAUGCCACAGCAUUUACCUUAUGCUUCUUGGCAGUUUUGGUAGAGCCAGUGUUGAUGUCACUCUUGGGAGUGACACCUGCUUCUGGAUCUGCUAAAGGCCCUAGAAGGGAUGGAGGUUUAUUUUGAUUUGAGUAGACUGUUUAGAGAUCAAAAACAAAAACAAAGAAAACCCUCCCUUCAUUCUUGUGACAACUUAAACUCUUUGCCCCAGUCAGAUCCCAAAUCAGAUGCAGAGGGUGUCCCACAUGCCUCAGGUGAUCCCCGAGGAACUUGAAGAACCAUCCCUUAUAACCUAAUGAAGACUCCUAAAAGCCCUGAUUCAGAUGUAUUCCUCACUCAUCGAACAACUAUAGAUGGCUGGGGGCACAACUAGAUGGACAUACGUUACGUUGUGCCUCAUGCCUCACAGAUCCCAGCACGUGGACUGUGUAUAGGGAGGGCAUCACUGCUGAACCGCUCUGUCUGCUUUUCUGUACACGGCCCCAUUCCUUCCCCACAAGAGACGCCUGUACCAACAUAUGGUGGGGGAAAUGACAAAGAUGAUAUGUUGAGCAUGAGAAACUUGAGGAAUGUGGUAGUGGAAACAGACACAUUCCCCUUGUAUCACAAUGGUCUGUGGCACUGCUCCUGCACCUUGGCCAAAGGCCUAACACCAACAAAAAUAAGAUGAGUGUGUUUUACAAGUCACCUUCUAGUGCUCAGAUCAUCUUACCAAGUGUUGCAGGUGGAGGGGUUUGGGGUGGCCCCAGGGCCACCAAGGCUCAGGAGGUGGAUGUGCCUAAUAGUCCAUGGGGGCGGGGCACCUCUAGGGUAGGGCAUGCAAAAUCAUCCAGUUAACAGAGGAGGUCCCCAGGAUCCAGACUGCCCUGCAGAACAGAAGUGACAGCUACAUUCAUAUGCCAGACAAGAGAACAAAUAUCAAAACCAGAGAAGAAUGUGUUCACACCUGCCACCUUCUCUGCCACCAGGAUCCAAGAGAGUAGCAUCAGUACCUGAAAGCUCCAUCCCUGCCACUGGACACCACCUACAGCUUGGGGUAGUAGAUGCAAGAGGUUAACCUACUGCCACCACUCAUCACUGCCCAUGUCUGCAGAAGUAAAAUGGCAAGGGUCCUGUCCUAGAGGGUUAACAGAAGUAAUUACAGUCUAAUGAAGUAGCACUCUCUGGACAGGCAGCCAUCGAUGUCCAGGUUCACCCUGCAUCCCUCCUCUACGGCGACUCCAGAUGCUCUGUUUUGGUAUGUUAAGAACACAAAAAAAUGAGUGGGAAUAAAUGGCUCAUAUUCUGCUCAUGGAAUCAUAGCCACUCCUGGCGAAAAGUUCUGCAGCUGGACCCUCACCUUGCCUCCUCUGCUUCUCUCCCUGAGAAAGGAGUCUUCCUUCCUGAAGUGUUGUCAAAGGCCUCUGAGACCUCUGGGGAGUGGAGGAUGCCUGGAAUCUUGCAGGGGAAUGAGAGUCUCCUGUGACAAAUAAGUUACUUAUGAAUGUCUACAAAGCUCAGAUGUGUUCAUCUUAAUUCAUAGGGAAUUCUGAUUUUAAGCAUACUACAGGACACAGAGUAAUUAUGCCCAACAGAAAAAAGAGGUAGAAAUUCACAUAACCGAUUUAAAGCAAGUGUUUUGGUAUAAAACUCCUGGUAUGUGUCAUGAGACUGUAGCAGCUCUAACAGUGACUGGGGACACAACCAGAAACUGCUCAUAUAAACAUAAUUGAAGGACACAGUGUUCAAACUAUUUUUACCUAAGGUAUAGCUGGAAGGAUUCCAGACAACUCAUUUACCAACAAAUAUGGGAAGGUGAUGCGUGAUGACACUGACUUUAUCUAAGACCACUCUAAAUGGUACAGGGCACAAAAUAUAAAGUUGGAGUCAUGAUGUCGUUUUGCACUUUUGAAUUUUAAACAAUAUGGCAGACUUUCUAACAGGUUCAUCUCCUAGCCAGAAUCAAGAAAGGAAGACACAGCAGCCACACUGUUCCCACAGAGGUGAGGUCUGGAAGGGGUCACCCAGCCCAGGAGGCUUCUGUUUGGAGUGUGGGGUCAUCCUCCUCUCAUUAUUUCCUGAACCACAUGGAAAAACCUUAAGACCACACGAUGAUCACACACAGGAACAGGCUGCACAGCAGAAAUUAGACUGCGGCACAUCACAACAUGCUCCUUACCUCUCCUUGGAGGGUUCUGCGUCUCUGGUCUUGCAGCCAUUGGUUUCUGCCUCCUGUAUCCCUCAGGCAGCCUCUUUGCUUCCAUCCUGUCCAGUCUUGGAUACAGAAAAAUAAUGGACUUAUAUAAGAGUUGCAACACCACGUCGUCUUCUAGACAACAAACAGUGCACGCAUCAUCCCUGGAAACACCCAUAAAAAUGCAAGUCAAAUGACCACACCUGUAUUUCAAAAUGCAAUCCAGGCAAAGAAGGGAUUCUCACCUUCAAUUUAAGAGCUUCAUCAGAGAGAAACUUACUUUCUCUCUUAGUUUCCUGAAGACAUUUCCUUAAUUCAUUGUUGUAUAAAACACAAAAAGGAAUCAGAAUUAAAAAAAAAAAGCAUAGUGCUAGAUAAACCUACCUUCUAAUGUGUGACUCCUUUCACAAAUAAAGAGGUAGCUCUUUA